AUUGAACGCUGGCGGCAGGCCUAACACAUGCAAGUCGAGCGGAUGAAGGGAGCUUGCUCCUGGAUUCAGCGGCGGACGGGUGAGUAAUGCCUAUGAAUCUGCCUGGUAGUGGGGGAUAACGUCCGGAAACGGGCGCUAAUACCGCAUACUUCCUGAUGGAGAAAGUUGGUGAUCUUCGGACCUCACGCUAUCAGAUGAGCCUAGGUCGGAUUAGCUAGUUGGUGGGGUAAAGGCCUACCAAGGCGACGAUCCGUAACUGGUCUGAGAGGAUGAUCAGUCACACUGGAGCUGAGACACGGACAUGACUCCUAAGGGAGGCAGCAGUGGGGAAUAUUGGACAAUGGGCGAAAGCAUGAUCCAGCCAUGCCGCGUGUGUGAAGAAGGUCUUCGGAUUGUAAAGCACUUUAAGUUGGGAGGAAGGGCAGUAAGUUAAUACCUUGCUGUUUUGACGUUACCAACAGAAUAAGCACCGGCUAACUUCGUG
rnacentral:rRNA from 1 species